CGAAAGGCUGAGGAGUUUUCUACAUUUGAUACACAACUGCUCUCCUUUUCUCAUCAGGACAUCCUUAGUGAACAUUUCCUGACAGAUCUGUACCAGACAUAAUCUGGGGAAUUGAUUCUCCGUGUGUUUGACCUGGUUUAAUCAAGGGACGGCUAGCAGUGAAGUGAUAAAGAAUCUUAGUUCCUGGAAAGGAAUGAAACCCGGAGCUCAGGCAAUGAGAGUGUUGAGUUCUAACCACUGGACCACCAGGGAAUUCACAGAAGAGUGCUUCAAAAUGGCACCUUUAUCUGUUUUUCACCCCCACUUUUUGAUGAGGUCAAAUUGCUGUCUUUAGGCAAAAGCGCUCCAAAGUCAAAUAUUAAGGAGAAGAAAUAGGUCCCUAGGGAUUGCACCGUUGGCCCUCUCCUUCCUGCGGGGUGGCUGGUACAGUGCCUACAGCUGCUUUGUUACACACCGGAUCGUCCUCUGCACCUCCGAACAGCCAGCAUCUCCAUCUGAGAACCGCAAGUGGCUUUUAAGUGAUAAGAUAGGGUUUAGCUGCUGCAUUUUAUGACAUAAUUCAGUUGGUGUUCCUUUACAGAGUGCCACUGGCUGGCCGACUUUAAACAGUCAUAAACAUUUGAUGGUGGAGUAAUUUAAUUUAAUGAUUUCUUUAAUCUUCAAAUUGCGAGACUGUUUUCAAAAUAUUUUGUUGCCAUGUGAUCUCCUUUCAACCCACAGGAUUAAUAAUUGAUGUUGAAAUAUGGAUGGGAAAAAAAUUGACAAUGAACUUCUUUCUAAAGGAAGCAGCACCUGGAGGAAUACCAGAUUUACACAGUGACUCCCCUAGAUAACAGAUAACUGU